GUGCUGUUGGUAUAGUGGUAACACACGACCUGAUCUUUCGGUGUCUGGUGAGGAUUUAGGUUGAGUCUUGGGUUCGAAUCCCAGAUGGCGCA